ensembl:lncRNA
UCCCAGUUCUUAAUAUUUUUUUUUCCAACAUAGGAGAAACCCAAGUCAGAAGCAAGGUGUCCGAUGUAAUAUACUGUAAGAAAACACGAUCAGUCACUUCUUUGACUGCCCUGCAACAACAUAACUCUGUGUCCUCUAUUUAAAAACCUUAAUUUAUUGGUUUCCUGAAAAUGUCUAUCCAGUAAAUUUUGUUAUAAGCUAUAUAAAGCAUAGAGCUGAGAUGGAAAGUUCUACACUAAAGUUUUUAACUAUUGAAUAAUUAUAUAAUAUACGGUGUUCUGUGGACAUCUGAAAGAGAUCAGCUAUGAAAUAUGAAGUGAAAAGGGAUUCAGGCAAAGUGAAAUCCUGGCUUAUGACUUAGUAAUACACAUGAACCACAAUGCCAAAUGGAAAAUAUAGUUUUAAUUAUUUUUAGAAUACAAAAUAAUAAUAGGUGGCCUGUGGCCCUCUUACUUAUAUUUCUAGAUUUGAUGCCUAAAUCGAUGUUUUUCUUCAGUGAAAAAUGAAUCUUAUGAGUAUCUCUGGAUCUGAUAAAUGGGAAAAGAGUGAUAAAGUAGCUUUAAUCUCAGUUUCAUUUUAAGCCAUUUGCAACAACAACAAAAUCUUCUGUAUUAAAUUUAAAGCUUUAACUUUCUUAUCGUGAGAUUAUUAGCUGAGAUGCCAGCUAACUGGAAGCUUAUUUUGAAGUCAGCACUUAAUAACUAAAGUGUAAAAUAAUUCAUCCAUUAUAUUGAAAUACACUUUUUUCACAGUCAAAUUAUAAAGAAAAAUAUCAUUUGCCCCCUUUUUCCUGAGGGGAAUGAGAAACUAAGUUUAUAGCAACAUGAAUAGUGUUGGUAUGUCACAUAUUUAACUACUGUUAUGUGAAGCUGCCAAAGCAGUUUGAGUUCAAAAUACCCAUUUAUACCACAAUUACACGUGGGAUAUUUAGUGGUCAUCUGUCAGUACUGCUCUGAUUGCAAAUACAGGUGAGAAUACAAACUUAGAAUCUUCCUCUGCAUUGACUUAAGCUGAUCUGCUGUUGUGUAUUAACUAGUUGCACUGGAAAAAAGAAUGAAGCAAACUCAGAUAAUUGGUCAUCAGCUAAUCAAUGGCUUUUUGGCUUCUGGAAAGCCAGCAGAAUGGGAACCAAAAGCUGCUUGGGAAAGAGAAGGCUGAAGCCUUCCUGCGCCAUAAGUCAUUCACUCAGAUAUUUGUUGUGGUAUAAAUGGCCUUCACGAUAUUUUUCCAUGGCCAAAAAACCAAUAUCAAAUUGCUAAAUAUUUGACUUUGGGUUAUGAAGAUCUGUAUCAUCGUUCAGACUUUCUGAAGAAGUUUUUGUAUGUUUCAUGCUGUACAAAACAUGAAUGUAUCUUUGGGACGAAAUGAACUGGAUGUGAUUGGUGUUACGACUGUUGGAUUUGACGGACAAUUAUUUUCAUACCAUUUGAUUAGGAAAAAUACUGGGUGGGUGGAGAAAGAGUAUGUUUGUAAUGCUUCCAUGAUACAGAUCCAGCUUAAAAAAGAAAUAAUGAAGUUUCCAUUGUAAAUAAGAGCAAUAUUAUGAGAGUUUUGUGCCAAUGUAUAACAUCGAGACUUUUUCCUUUUCAGUUCAAAUUCAAAACUACCACUACCAUCUCUUGUUUAAAGUGGACGUGAAGGUUUUUCUGUCAGCAGAAAAAUGAGGUUCUUGAGAAGGCUUUGCGUGUUUUGGGGGGCAUUUAUAACUUCUGCUAAAUAUGAAAUAAGAUGCAGCUUACAUCUCAUGUAGGUAAAACAACAGUGCUUCAUCUAGAAUAGCUGAUUGUGGCCUGGUGCACCAUCCGAGAGAGAGGAGGUGAGAAAGCAGUUGGGAGAUGAGUACGUGAGGAGUUUGUUGUGGAACCUGGCAGCCUUCCUUGGAGAGCUUCUGGAAAGCUGUGUGGUACCCACGGAGGCCAAGACCCAGCAGUACUGCCCGGGGAGAUGGGAAGUAGAGAAGGUCCUGCAUAGUGAUGCCAGACCUCCAGUUGUGCCGUGGAGCUGAACUACGUGAUAUCUUUAUGCUUGUGUAGGUGUGUGGGCGAUGGUUGGUGGCUCAGGGAAUUAGUAUGAGUGUGAAAAAUACUCUACAGAUACCAGGUUGUCCAAUACUUACGGUGUAGCUGUGACUGUAGAGCUGUUACUGCAGGCAAUCUGAAGGGCCCUGAGGAUAAAGGAAGGAAUUGGAAUAUUGUCCAAAUUCAAGAUCUGCUUAUUAGGAUUUUCACACAGGACAGGAAUGGUGCCUUCUUAUGGCAUUCACAGUCGUUUUGUACUGUGCAGGUCCCCAGCAGGCUAGGUGUAUUUUAGAACCCACCUUUUAUCUUCCAUUGCUACUGUCAGUGCUGGGGUCUAAUAUCAAAAUCUGAGAAAAAGAUGUUCACUGAUGAAACGUAGAUAUUGCAUGAAAUUGCACAGUUUGUACUUAGUUGGUGAUUGGGAAGCUGUUACAAGGAGAAAGGAGUCGGUUUGUUUUAGUGUAAUGUUUUGUCCAAUCUCAUUUAUCUCCAUCACCGCUGCAUUUCAGCUCUGUGCUAGCUGCUGCCACCAGUGUGCAUCUGCAGUUUGUUGGGCUUCUCCAGCUACAGAUGGAAGCAGUGCAUAACCUGCAAGCUCCCGCUGCUCACUGGGGCAAAAAAUACAUCCUCUUUGUUUUCUCUAAACCAUCUCACCUAAAAAAUGGACUAAAAUAUCCAUCAUUCCUGUAUUCUGUAAGAUGAAGUUUGGUUUUAGGGGCUGGCUGACAGUUUGCUGGUGGUGGUAUUUCAUAUUUAGCAAGCUCACAUGUUUUAAAGGAUGAUUUUUCUCAAAGUGUUUUGAUGUUUGAAUGGUAGCACUUUAUCUCAUGCUUACUACUGACUGAACUAUCAGAGAAAAAUAAAUUGGGUUUGCAGAGAGA